rnacentral:rRNA from 1 species
CCUACGGGUGGCAGCAGUGGGGAAUAUUGGACAAUGGGGGCAACCCUGAUCCAGCCAUGCCGCGUGUGUGAAGAAGGCCCUCGGGUUGUAAAGCACUUUCAGUGAGGAAGAACGCCUGGUGGUUAAUACCCAUCAGGAAAGACAUCACUCACAGAAGAAGCACCGGCUAACUCCGUGCCAGCAGCCGCGGUAAUACGGAGGGUGCGAGCGGUUAAUCGGAAUUACUGGGCGUAAAGCGCGCGUAGGUGGCUUGAUAAGCCGGUUGUGAAAGCCCCGGGCUCAACCUGGGAACGGCAUCCGGAACUGUCAAGCUAGAGUGCAGGAGAGGAAGGUAGAAUUCCCGGUGUAGCGGUGAAAUGCGUAGAGAUCGGGAGGAAUACCAGUGGCGAAGGCGGCCUUCUGGACUGACACUGACACUGAGGUGCGAAAGCGUGGGUAGCAAACAGGAUUAGAUACCCCAGUAUC